rnacentral:rRNA from 1 species
GCGCACCAGUCGCGAAACCUCUGCAAUGUGCGAAAGCAUGACAGGGGCAAUCCAAGUGCUCUUGUUUUACAAGAGCUUUUCUCCGGUCCAAGACGCCGGAGGAAUAAGGGCUGGGUAAGACCGGUGCCAGCCGCCGCGGUAACACCGGCAGCUCGAGUGGUGGCCGCUAUUAUUGGGCCUAAAGCGUUCGUAGCCGGGCAGGCAAGUGUUCUGGUAAAUCCCAUAACUUAAUUAUGGGGCUUCAGAAUAUACUGCCUGCCUUGAGACCGGGAGAGGCUGGAGGUACUUUCGGGGUAGGGGUAAAACU